CCGGACGUCGCGGGUCGGGGCGGCCGGUCCCGGGGCCGCUGCGGGAGCCCGGCCCGGCCCGGCGGCAUCGCCUUGCGGGGCGCUCCCCGCGGCUCGGACCGCGCGGGGCAGAGCGCGGCGGGCUCGGCGGCCGGGGCCGGGCGGUCCGUGCGGCCGCCUCGAUGGCCCCGCCGGAGCGCCGGGAGCGAUCUCAAAAGCGGAACUGCUCUAACUUCACAUGCCAAAGUAGAACCUACUCCUCCUGCCUCUGCCUUGCACUCAGCAUCCAGCCUUGCCCAUGGUGCAGUAGUGCAGAUAUUGCUGUGGGAGAGCCGGCUGGUGAGACAGUUCCUUCCUGCUCACCUCCUGAGCAUCGAGCGGUGUCAGCUGGGAUGACUGGAGAAGCUCAUCUCUUUCCCCGUCCUCUGAGACCAGGAAAUUGAAAGUAAGGAAAUCUCAUCAGGAACAACACCCACGUGCAGGUACCAAGCCCCUGCUGCACCUGAAUUCAAUUGAUGCAAAGAAGCUGAAUUUAAAAUAUGCUCCAGAACAAAGCAAGGCCAGCUGGAGGAUUUCCUGCAGGAGAAAGGAAAAGCCUGGGGAGGCAGUGGGCCGGAAUGCUGAGCUGUGACACAUUCCUGCUGGCUACAGUCUCGUUCUGUUCCUCCCCUUACUGAGGCGGGCAAGCCCCGGGGUGUUGGCAGCGCUGCGGUGUGGCAGCGGCAGCCCGGGCAGGCGAUCCAUGCGGUGAUCCCGGCGGUCCAUGCGGGGAUUGAGUCACUCGCACAAGGUCACGCGAAUCGCUGGCGCCGCCAGGAAUAGCACCCGGAGCCUCCCGGCUCUCUCGAGCCCACCCUCGGCACUCCAGCCCGAAUUCCCCUGGUCUGAGACUUCUUCAAGCAACGUGUCCUGCAAGGAUUAUGAACCUUUCUGCAGCAAGAUCUGAAACAGCCAGAUUCCAAUUUAAAUCAAAGUCCCUAGGAUUCACUUCUGAUUUCCAGUAAGGCUUCUUUAAGCCUGGCUCUGCUGCACACAAGAAAAUCACACCACAGGCUGGAGUGAGCCAGGAAGUCUUGUCCCCAAGUGGCUUUAUGCUCUUCAAAGAUACCUGAAGGAGCCAGAGAAGGUUUCAGGGAAUUUCAGGUGGCAGGCAGGAGUCGUGAGCCCGAGUUCCCUCCUGUGUGAUGCCCCAGGUCUGUCCCGACAGCAGUGCUGGCCGGUGCUGACAGAGUAACUUCAGCUGGGAUCUGUGGUACUGCUGUGUCCCUGGCUGCUGAGAGCAGGGAGGGAGGGCUCCAUCUACUGCUGUGCGGGGAGAAGGCAAAAAUAACCAGGAUGGCAUUCCUCUGCUGCACAGAAAAGCUACUGGGUACCAUGAACUCCAGGUACAGACUUCUCAGGAUUUUGCCUGCUAUCCCAGACUAACACUUCAGAAGUGCCACCAAGGAAACUUCUCUGCAAAUCUCUUUCUAUUUCAAAACUUCUUCACUGAAUAAUGUGAGUGGCCAGAUACAUUCCUGCCUGUUGAAGCUCACAAUAGAAGAAUGUUCAAAAGGAAAAGGAAAAUAUUUGGAAAGUAUUUUUUUUACUAUCACACAGACCUGGAAAUUGUAUCAGCUGAGGAGAUACACCAGUUGUUCCUUCAGCUACAUUUUUUGUGCUGGCAACCUGCCCUGCAAUUCCCAGGGACAGCAAACCUGUGAGCCAGAUGCACUCCCUGUGUGACUGAGGCUGCUCUCCAGCCCUGCUGUGCCAGCCCUGGGAGCGGGGCCGGCUGUGGGGUCUGCUGUUUUCUAGUUGGAGUGAUUUUUAUAAAGCCUGUAUUAUAAGGAAACCCACACGUGAGGAAAGGAAGAAGGAAUUAAAUGGAAAACAAACCACAGGCCCAGCCAUUAAUCCUUCUGGGGAAAGCAGGGCCUGGGCUGCAUUCUUCAGCAUCCAACCCACUGUGGGACACACCAGGUGAAAGUCGUCAACAGUCUGAGCUGAGUCUCUGGUCAGCCAUCGUUCUGGGGGAUCUGCUGCUGCUCUCCCACUGGAGCCUGUUCCUUUGUGCUCCUUCCAUGAGGAGCAGCCAAAAUCAUGAAUUAAACAUUGCUGAUAUUAAAGAGGACUCCUGGCAUCUGCCCCAAAUGGAGAAAUCAACGUGUCAUUCAUUAAAGAUAUCCACACUUGUACAGGGAACACGUGUUUGCCAGAUGGUGCCAGUUCAGGAUUCCCAGAGGGAGCAGGAGAGGUCCAUCCCUGCUGAAUGCCAGAGCCACCCCAGUCCCAGGGUCCCCCAAGGGUCUUCUCUUCCUGCAGCCUGGCAGAGAUGCCCCUGGGCCUCUCCCAGCUGAGGCUGUGUUGUGACCCCAGACUGCCAAGGAAAGUACAAAAUUGAUGUAUCUUGGGGGAGGGAGGGAGGGGUGUGGGCUGAGAUCUGGUGUCUCAAGACCAUUCUUUAGACAGCGCUGAUCCAGACUGUCUUAUUCCCAGCAUUUUUCAAAUUGUGUUAGUUUGCAACUACACACAGUAGUCAGAGGUUAUGACGUAGCUGACUUUAAAGGACACUGUAACAAGUGCUAUGUACAUAUUCUAUAAAUGUUGUUAUACCCUGUAUUUUAUAGCUUUAGACUGCAAUAAAUGGGGACAAACUAUGUGCUUGUAGUGUGAGUGGAAUGGUUUGGUCUGUGUUUUUUUCUAAUUAUAGAAUUUCAUGUUUAUUCAAAGUAGAUCUCUGCGUGCAGGUUAUGAAGUAUUUCCUUCCAAACACAAGAUACUUGCAGUUCGAGUGGAUCUUGACUUGCAUCAAGGAAUCAAAGCAGGCACAAGGAGAAGCAAGUACAGUAUGUCAGACAGUGGGUCUUUAACUGUGCAGAAAGGAGCAGCACAUCAGAAAGUGUCAUUAUUUCUGUUGCUCACUGCUGGGCACAGUGAGCCCGGCGCAGGGAGUGGGGCUGUGUGGGGCUGGGGAGCUCCAAGGCAGCACAGCAGGUUGGUGCGAGGCUCGUGUGCUGCUGUGCUGGAGGAGUGGUGGGAGGAUGAGGGGGCCACAUCCCAGAGCCCCCUGGGGAUGGAGCCCACAGGGAUUUGUGUCCAGCAGGGCAGGGCACCGUGGGAUGCCCCGCUGAGCUCUUGGUGGGCAGUGCUGGCACCAGGCACAGCGCUGGGCUCUGCUGAGGGUGCAGCUCUGGGGAUUGGCACAGAUGCACCAGCAUUGCACAACAAUCUCUUUCUCAAACAGAUCUGUCACUUUUUAUAUUUUCCUUAAUUACAAUUGCAGCUGCUCGUGUCUCAGCACCACUCUGCACGUGUCUGACCACAGCCCUGUCAGUUCUGUGCCGUGCUGUGGCGCAGCCCUGGGAUGCUCACGCAGCCUCAGAACAGAACCCUGUGCAGGCAAACCUGAGAGAAGCUGGAGCAGCAGUAAGGAAUCUGGGAUUGGGAACUCACCACACUGACUGGUCUCCAUUCCCAAGAGGACAAACUGGGGUCUUGUUUGCCAGAAGUAAUACCCAAAUUUAUGAUGCUGGAAAGGGAAAGCUGCAGCUCAUCUGGAACACUUGGCAUUGGAGAAACACACCAGGAGCAACCACAGACAGGCAAGUUCAGCACUCCAGUGGUCUGUCUGUGUGUCUGUCUGUGUGUCUCAUGAUUUUCAAGUUGUUUUUCAUAUCCUGAUGCAAGUGAAAAGUCAGGGUUUUUUUUUUUUGGAAAAGUGCAUAUUUUGGAAAGCUCAGCCAUUCCCAGGCCAAGGGUGAGCAAUACAAACCUUGCACAAGCAGGUGACGUGGAGGUGGGUGUCUUGGAAAGAAAACAUGGAAGGAAUCAUGCAGAGAUCUGGGGUGGGUGAUCCAUGGGGACGGGGAGUUGGAGGCUUGUACAAAGCCACCUUAUUCUUUGCCCAGAGCCAGUGGGCUUCAGUUCAUAGAGAAAGUAGCUGGAAAAAUUACACAGAAAUAUUUGACCUUCCUAAAGGCCUCUAAGACACAAUUACCUGAUGUUCACUGAAGUGGUUCACAUGGUUCCCACUCUAAAUGAUUUUCUAGGUUCACCCAUGUGUGAAAAAGGGUCUGAUUAUAUGGAGGAGGGCAAUGGAGGAAAGAACUGCAGGAAGGAGAGAAUUAUGCCAGGGAAUUUUACUGAUUGUGUUUGCUUCAAGGGAAGGAAAGGGCAAAUAGAUACAGCCAACUCAAAGUAGCUGAGUUUCUUUUGACUUUGAAUUUCAAAAGAAAGAAACAUAAGAGAGCUCUGAGGUGUUGACAGCACUCAACAGAAGCUGUUCCAUGGAGUUAGGUAGGAAAUGUAGCAUCCAACAUAGUUCCCUUUCUUUGAUAGAUGACAAAUUCUUUUUUCCCCCCUGUACAACAAAACUGUAACAACCCCCAUUUGUCCCAGUGCCUUUUCUUUCCUUCUGCCCUGUGUUGCCAGGCACAGGACAUCCCUUGCCUGUGCAGCCAGCAGUGCUCACGCCGGGGGCUGGCCAUGCCCUGCUGCAGAGCUUCAGCUCAACCCUGACCAAAACAAGUGAGUUAUCUGGGGCUGCAUUCUUUAGUGGGCUUCAGGCAAAAUAUUUUUCUAAGGAAAUUAAUUCCAUGGUUGGCACAAAAGUGCCUCUACUGUGCAGUUUUCCAGUGGCAGGUGUGCCCAGGUGCACACAGCUGUCUGGCUUCAGUAGUAAAUUCCUGUGUUCAUCUUGGUCUACACCAGUGCCCAGAGCUCUGCCAAGCUGCCAGCAGCUUGCUGGGGCCAUGGAUGGGCACCCCAUGCAGCUCCCUGCAGAGACUGCACUGACGUCUCUGCCUCCCUGCUGCUCGUUGCCAGCUGAUCCCGAAGGAGCUGGAACGAGGCACCGGGAGUGUGGCCGCACGGAAUUGCACUCCCCACAUUCCAGGGCCCCGUGCUGAGGAACUAAACCAUGGCAGAGAGACUGGAAGAUCUGAGAGUUUUCUCCCAGAGCCCAUGUUUAACUCUCUGUGGCCCUGUUUGGGAGUGGGCUGUAGUCAGUACAUGCCUUUAGCUUUAACUUGCACUUCAUCAGUCUGGGAGGAAGAAUGGAAGAAAUGUUCUGAGAGCAAAUUCUGUGUAUGUCUUCUGCCACCUGCUAAUGGUGCGUGUGAGCCGCUGCGUGCCAGGAGCCGAUGGCAAAGAUAAUAUCAUUGCUGGGGAGAAAAUUGCACUGUGCUGAAAAUGAGACGUGUGUUCCUGAUGACCCGAUAGCUCAGCACCCACUGGGGCCGGGCCUGGGGCCGGGCUCUGCUCACUGCUGCUCUCACAGACACAUUCAGUGUGAUGGAAUCCCAGAAAUUAAAUUAUUUAGGGUGGGCAGAAGGACAAAAGCUGAAGAACUUCUACUCACAUCCAUCCCUGAAUCAGGCUUUGCUACAUCUGCCUCCAGCCUGAUUACUAUGGGCAAGGCCAAGGGAGACUGACGGGUGGGAACAACUGUCUGUGUGCCUGGUAAAGCUGCUGGUCUGAAAACUGACAUAAUGGCACAGUAGACGUGGUGGCAGCUCUUUGAAAGUAAACAUCCAUUUACAGCAGGAUCGUACAAAUCUUUGAGGCAUUCAGCAGCAAGGUCCCUGUGGCUUUUCACCCUUGUGUUGCCCGGAGUUAUUGCUCAAUGAGGGAGUUCAUGGCAUUUUGUGUGAACCGAGAGGUAAUUGUGAGCAGCUAUUUAAAUAGCCCUAAUUAUGUUUAGAGACUGGCUUUCAGGCCAGUCCCUGAAAGCAGCUAGGAUCUGUGAAUGAACAUAUUGCCACAGGUGACCACCUGAUCUAUGCAUAUGGACCUAAAAAAAGCCACUUUGCUAAGUUUAAAUAGCUCAGUAAAGCUGAGCAGACACCAGACGCCAGCACGGCCGCGCCUGCCCCGUGCACGCUGCCCAAAGCAGCAUCACAGGGGGCUCUGGGGGGACAUGGGUCGGGCACCGUGGCACCGUGGUGACCACAGCAUGGUCAGCCAGCCCAGGGUGUGCUCCUGGGGGACCAGGGCCUUAAAAAAUAUAGCCUUUAAAUACCCCACGGACAGAGAAGGGUGAAGGGACCGGGGCCCCCUGAACAGGGGUUGGAGAAACCCAGAGGCUUACCUUGCUUAAUCCUUUGGCAAACAUGCCCAGUGUCUGCUGAGUCCCGUGGCCAAUCCAGCCUGUGUCAGCACUGCCCUGCAGCUGGCCCAGAGCUCCAGGGGAUGGAGGGCACCCGCUGCCCCCCUGGGGGACAGUGGGGUUCCAGCUUGGCCGCGGCCCUGUGCAGUCAGAGUUUCUGAAGGAGACAGUCCAUGACAGAGAGGACAAACGUGAAACUGUUGAACAUAUUCAGCCCUUCAGCGUGAGGGUUGAAGAGUUCACAGUGACAGCUGAGAUAAGGCCAGGCCUGGUGAUGGGCCCCAAGCCCUCCCUGCUCCACUGGCCUCCUCCUCCUGCUGCAGCGAGCACCCAGCUGCCUCAGUGACCACGUCUGGCUUCAGCGUGACUUAACUGCACACAAUUAUUAUAUCUUAUGGCAUGGAAAUGGGUCAGAAAUAAACUCUGUGCCUUUCUGUAUUAACCUGGUGGUUCUCUGAACAACAAGAAAAAAAUUCCUUAAUACACAUGGUGGUCAGUCAUGUUUCUUUCUCUUCAUUCUCUUUUGAUCACUGAUUGCUUUUGGCACUCCUCGUUCCUGGCCACAGGAGGAGGUGAGCACUGAGGGCACCUCGUCCUGCUGGUAGUGCAGGAGACACUGAUGGGGAGGUGCCACCUCCACUGCAGCUCCUCUGGGCAGGUGAGGGGCUCCUGGCACUGCCCUGUUCAGGACAGGCUCACCUGUGCACAGCUCCCACCCAUUCUGGGUGGCACCAGCUGCCAUCACCCUGGGUCUCUAGAACCCCCUGCCCCAGCAGGUGCCAGCUCCUGCAGGGUGUCUCCAUGCCAAAGGUCCUCCUAACCCACCCCAGUGUUUCGCUGCAUUGUUCCCUCAGUAUCAUGGUGGUGGUGUCUGGAUUUUGGCUCACUCUGGGAGCAGUAGAGUGAUGGGGAACAUAUCUGGGUGGCAACUCUAGGAGCUGUCACAGCACAGUGAGGUUAAGGGCAUUUUCCAAGGAAAAGGCUCUCUGGAGGAGGAUUGCUGUCAAUGCUUGUACUGCCAUAAGCAACACCUCCAGGCACCAUAGGCAAACCUGUUGGUAGCAAAGUUUUAAAGAGAUUUUAAAGGAGAUUUCACAGAAUUGUUGUAGGGGGAUUAUGGAAUUACAAUUAGGAUAACUUAAAAAAAAAUACAGAUGGAAGGGAAAAACGUUAUAUCCAUUCAAAUAAUAAUAAGGUGGGAAUGAGAAUAGAGGCCAGUUUUAGAGAGAUGAGUAACAUGUACCAGAGAAAUUUUCACAAGUCCUCUGGACAAUCAGGGUUUGUUGGAGUGUUCAGUCGUGGCAGCCCCUGCCGUGGGCUAUGGCAGCAGGCCGGGCUGGUCCCAGGGGCUUGAGGAGCUGUGCUGGUCUGUGUCACACAGGUGCCACUCGUGGCUCAGAGGCUUUCAGAGGCUUUUUAGUUGCUGCUUACAGAUUGAAGGAAAACCAGCAUCACCUCAGGCUAUAGGGAGAAAAAUUCCAUUGAACCACAUUUCCUCUUUGCUAGAUGAACCCGAGAAAGAUGACUCGCUCCAAAAUGUGAGGGUUCUCCUGACACCUUCCAAACAAUCACUGCAUUUCAUGCCUGAAUGCCAAUCAGCAAAUUUCCAGUACAAUAUGUAAACAAAUACAAAUCAAAAUGUCUGCUGUUUCCUUUGCACUCCCCAGAGGCACUGGACAGAGCCCUGUGGACGGGAGGACAGUCCCAGGGGACUGUCACAGCUGAGACCGAUGUGUUGGACAGAGCUGAGGGACACAGCACACCUGAACACAGUGACACCUGGGGAGGUGCAGGCAGGAGCCCUUCGUGCUCAGGCAGUCACUGCCCAAACAAGGACACUGAUCAGCAGGACUGUCCUGAUGCUGUUCCUGAGACCAGAGCUAGUCAGAGGUAGCACAUGGCACGGAUCUGUCUCGUGCCUGCUUACACAGGCUAUCAAACCACGAGCAUCCAGGAUCCCUCGGAGCAGCAGCUCUAAAUAUCCACAACAAACAGCACAUCCCUCUCUCACAGACGUGUUUUGGAACACUCAUCCAGACUUUCAGCAAGGAGCAAAAAUUAUCAGAAAGGUGCAGCAAGCAAAAUUUAAAAAAAAAACCAGCCAGGGUGGAAGGGCCUCAGACUACCUGAAUCUCCAGCUGUGGGUCAGAGAUUUGUCAUGCUCUUAAUAGCAAUACAGUUCCAGCUACAUUCCUGCAGACAGAAGGCCUGGGGACUGGAUAUGUUCCAAUGGCUGUGUACUUACAGAGUGGGUCCUGGGGGAGCAACUGUAGAGGUGGGAAAGAGCUGGAUCUCUAACGUGCUUCUUCCCUCUUCGUGCACAGUCUGAAUCCAACCCAGAGACAUUUUUUGCUGUCUGAUCUUCACUGGGUCCCUACUGGAGAUCAGUCUUUUAUUUCUUCCCAGGCUCCUCUGUAAGAGGUGUGCAGCCAGUAACUGGGAUACAGGACUGCUGCUGGCAGUCCCUGUGCUGAGGAGGUGCAGGCAGAGGCCGGGCUGUUCCCAGCGACUCAUGAGGGAUGGUGUCCAGUGCCUCAAGAAAUUUGUCACAGUGCACUUGUGUGAUGAGUUGUGUGCAGGGGUGGACUGAACUGCACGCCCACAGCUCUGGUGACCACAGGCUGCCUUCCAUAUCCCUGCCUUGCAGCUGCUGGGCCAAAGCAAGAGCAGACGGGUGGGACACACGGCAGUGUCUGAACAGCUGCCCCUGGGUGUGUGAUGUAACAGCCCACACUGCAUCAUAUGUAGCUGUUCAGUUCCAGACAUUAAAGACAAUUUGCUGUUGCACUGCCCUGCCCUCAGCUUUGCUCAGGGCUGGCGCGUUGCCUCGCAGUCAGCUCUGACUCCUGCAGCACACUGGGCAGUGCCAGUGAUGGGCAGUGCCAGUGAUGGGCAGUGCCAGUGAUGGGCAGUGCCAGUGAUGGUCACUGAGCCAGGCUGGCAGCUCUGCUGAGUUCAGCAUUUCCCCUCCGGGGUUAGCCAAGUCCCAGAGAGCCAAGACAGGAAACAAAAUGGUUACAACAUCACUCAUCUCAGUUUAAUUUGCUGUCAGAUGUAAAUCAAUGCCUUAAUCCCCUGUGAUAAAAAUCUUUGUGAUCUCUUCAGUGGAUAAAGCUGUUUGGUCAGGCCAAGAAGCCAAUUUUAAACCAGGCAGCAUAAUUCCUUUCUUCACCAAAGCAGGUGAUUUUGUAAUCACUGUCUGUGCUAGAUUCCACCCAGAAAUUGUUAUUCUAGAACAUUAGCUGCAACACUAAGUUCACUUAGGACUUCACUGGAAUACAUGGAAUUGUUGUUUUGCUUCCUUCCCACAUCACAAAGUUAAGUUUCUCUGUUAUGUGAACAAAAGAGAUGAGAGCAGCAUAUUUUACAAGAAUGAUGAGCAAGCAUCUUGAGUUAGAUGAAGAUGGGAAGUCUUGUGGUCAGACACCCACUUAGGAGACACAGAACUUGGGUUGUUUCCAGUACUGAACACAUUUUUUAUAUUAUCUUUGAGCCCCAUCUUCCCCAUUCAGGAAUUUUUGAGGUUCAAGCGAUUCAUAGUUCCGAAACUGAUUCCUCUCUCCCUCCCAUAACUGUUCUGGCUGACUAGACUUGUUCUUUUGCAACAAUCAGAUUUAAACGUGGGCCAGCCUGGAAGAAGUAAGUAGCAGAUGAUGUACAAGCUCUCACCAAAAGAAUACCUCCAAGUGCACACAUUUAGAGUUCAAUUCUGGUGUUACAGCACUGGCCAAUGCAAGGUCAGCAUCCCUCUCCUCAGCUGACACACAUCUGUUCAGCUCAGAAAAGCUGGGACACAGCAGACAGUGCUGUGAUGAUAUCCUUGCUCCCUGUGGGUUGGGAUAUGCAAAGCUCCUGCUCAGGAAUGACUGAGUGCUCUCUUCCUGGUGUGGUACAGCAGCUUGCCAAGGACCAACCCAUGGGAAUAAAAGAACUUAGGAGACAAACACCUUGAGCUCCCAGACCCCUCACUUAUUCCCAGGAAACGUCAUUACUGACAUACAUAGUACUAAGAACCUCCUUUGCAUUGCCCCAUGCACAUCUGCUGAAGGAUGUGAUUCAGAGAUGGACAGGAUGGCAUUUCCUAGCUUUCAUCAGCACAAAUGACUGUACCAGAGCAGCCCUUUGUUUUGUAAUGGCAAUGAUGACAUUGGGCACAUACCUCCCAUUUCCAGUAAAGAUCCCUUGUUGCAUGGCCCCAGAACAGAGCACAGCCUGAAACACAGGCUUCCCUGAUGUGUCCAUUUCCCACCACCCUGGGCAGGGAAGGGCAGACACAGUGAACCUUGAUACUGCUGGGGGGACUUGGGGGGGGAGAUAGCUGUUGGCACCAUAUAUUCAGUCCCUCUGCACCAGCAGACGUGAGUUAGCAACAGGACACCUGAAAGAAUAAGGUCCAGGGUCAGCAGAUGCCCAGGGCAGCCACUAAAGCUGUCUGCUCCCAGGAGCUGAGGCUGGCUGCCACUCCUAAGAAACCAAAACUCCUGCCUGGUAGUAAACAUCUUCAGUUAUCACACAGAAGAAGAAAAUCCACACAACAAUGACCUAGCCAAGUGUUUAGGAUGGAAAAAUCUCAAAGAUCUGGAUGAGAUGGAAUUCCUUUCUUGGUGGCAUGCCUGGUCACAUAGUGCUGGUCAGACACGGGGCCAGGACCACACUGUCACCUGCUAACUGCCUGACCCCCUCCCUCCUUUGGCUGCUGGACAUGCAGGUGAAGCCUGGGUGGGACAACUGCCAGCUGUUAGGAAAGAUCACUUGUGCCCACAGGUCACUUCCCUGGCGAGGAGCACCUUGUUCCCAGGGUGAAGCACUGACUGCUCUCAGGAGCAUGGUACAGGCUCCCCAGUGCCUGGCACCUCGAGGGGCUGCAAAAGCCCAUGGAAUAAAUAGGGUGAAUGGCACCAAACCUUCUGGGGGGAAGCAAUUUUGGUGCAGUGUUGCCCACCCAUAAUUCAGAGCCACUCUUUGCAGUGAGGCUGUGUGGGCAGGCAGAGCAGGGUUCAUGCCUGGAAGGUGCAGGUCCCUUUUGGUGUGCCACAGCUGAAGCCCAUAACAUAGGGAAAGAGAGCCUGGCAGCUCAGUCUCAGGGCUGAGCAGGCAGGGUCAGACCCUGCCACAGCUUUGACUUACAACUGGACAGACUUUUCAAGUUGCAGAACUUAAGCUUUUUGUAUUUCAGUUUUAUAAAUGCUAGUCAGUUUUGCUACUUUUCAUCAAUUAAAUUUCUCAGUUUCAUCCAUAUCCCAUCCAGAGUUUCAUCCAUUAAAGCCCUAAUUUGGCUGCCUUUCCUCCCUUGUAAGCUGAGGGGGUCCCCUUCAGAGAGGCUGGUUCAGAGAAUGGUGGUAGUGGCUAUGAGUGCCCUGUCCAGUGACAUCUCAAAUGAAAGACAGGAUGGCUGUGCAAAGCAUUAUAAGGUAUUUGAAAAUUAAGAUAAUAGCAAGGCAGGCCCAUAUCUGCUGCUAGCAUGUUAGAUUCAGAACCGCUGCUGCUGAGCAGCAUUUUCAUGCCAGGAACCUGCACCAGCUGCUACAGCUACAGAUCAGUCCUUCAGCUGAUCCCACAGCAUGGGUUGUGGACUCCUCCAGCUCUUGGACUCCUUCACCUCUGCAUCACCAAGAUUUCUUCAGCACAGUCAUUAACAGCUCACACAUACCUGCCACACCUUGCAGCACCCGCCUCUGCAUUCCUCCCCCUGCUCCAAGACAUGCCUUCUGCAUGGGCUCUGCUCCUGGAGCUCACAGUCACUGAUUCACACGGGAUCACAGCUGUAGGAAGUGCUGGCAGGUUGUGCUCAUGAUGGAUCUAGCCCUGUCCUUGCAAGAAUAGAUUCAGAGCAGAUUAUCCUGUCACCUAACCAGUACUUUUGGGAAAUAUUUUACAACUUGCAUAAAGAAAAAAACUGCUGGAAAUACCUGAUCUGUAGGGACAACCUCUGGACCUCAGUACACACAGAACUCCAGUGAUGUCCAUCACUUGUUGCACUUUCAUCUGUUCUCUGACCUGUGACCAAGCUCACCCAGCCUCUGCUCAGUGUAUAAAGCUUUUCCUGCCAUGUCUCACAUUUGCCAGCUCUCCAGUCUCUGAGUGCUGCUGGUAUUUCCAACUGUCAGAUCUGCUGGGACAGAGACAGCUCUGUCUGCAGGGAUGCAGUACCUGGGAGCUCUGACAGAACAAGCUGAGGGUCCCAGCAUCUGAACCUGGGGAUGCCUGACUCGGCAGCUGGCAUCAUUUGCUUCUCAAAUAACAUCGUCCAUUAACUAAACUUAUGAGCUGUUUACCUAACAUGUUACCUGAUAAUAAUUCAAAUGGUUUUGUGGCCUGGAAAAAAAAGCUAGGAAGUGAUAUCUGGAGAAGAGUUUGUGGAUUUGUAUAGUAGAGGUCUUCUCAGGCUCUGGGUGGAAAAAUGUCUCACAAUUACCUUCAGUUUCCUCCAGUCCCCUUUCUGCACAUGCAGGUUAGUGAAUAGAUAAAGAACUUGAUCGUGGUAAAUAAGCCUUUGCCAACAGCUUCCCUUCAGGUGCUGUGCAAAAGAGCUUCAUUUAGGAGACCUGCCCAGGAAGAGAGAUGGAAACACACAGGAGUCAGAGGCUGUUUAGGCAGAGAAGAUCCCACUGUCAUCAGAAUGAAGAUGUGCCUUCCCAAGGGAAGGAUGGCCUGGUGGUGGGAAAGGACUUUUCUCUGGAACUGAUCCCAACCCACAUCUGAUUUGAGGCUGUGGAUUCUUUUUGCUGGCUCCCUGCAAUACUGCUUUGAUUUGGGAGACUGACACAUCUUGAGAUAUUGCUCCUGACAGCAGCAAAAACUCUUCUGACCACACACCAGCACAAGGCUUUCCUGCCGUCUCAGUUUUAUUUCCUACUCUGAGCUCUGCAGUCUUACACCCAUGUAUCCUGUCAUACACAAACCUGCACUUUAAAAGUGGUCAUUCUGUAGCCAUCACAAAAAUCCCUCCUGGUAUUUUUGCUAGCACCUGUCCCUGGAACAUAGGCUUUAACAAAGGGAACGUUUCCCACUGAUGUGCCAGACAAGUUCAUGGCUUUGUCUUGCUGAAAAUGAAGUCUUGAUUAUUCAAGCAGUUCCCAGUGAGUCACUCCACACCCUUGAAUUAUUUCUGACAGAUGUGAAAUGCCUUUUGCUGAAUUCCUACUCCAAAGAGCCUUUUGCAUGACUGGUUUAUCAGUGAAUGCGAGCAGACUCAUGAUUUACAGUGCUUCAUCAUCAUGGCAUGUGUACUACUGAACAUGAUGACUAUGGAAACCAGACCCACCCAUUUUUUGCCACAGACUCAGAGCCUCUCAAAUCUUCCAAGAGCCACACCAGAGGUGUUCACACAGGGCAGGUCCUGUGCAGGGAAACCUGAUUUGCUCUGCGGAUCUCAAAAAUGGGUCGGCUGAGGGCGUAUGAAUUAUGAAUUCACUCUCAGGGGUGAUAUGGAGACUGAAGCACCAACCUGAAGGCCUCUUUCUGUCACUGUUCACUUUUUUGCUUUCCCUUUGCUGCCAGGAGUGUGCCUGCCACUGGCUACAUGCUCAGUUGUGGUGCCGGUCCCUGUGCCAGCCAUGGAGCCCAGACCUCGCUGCAGCUCUGUGCCCUCAGCCCGCGUGCUGCCCUGACCCCCUGCAAGCUGGAAGUGCUCUCUGCUGUGUUUACACACAAGCAGGGUUAGUACACAUCUCUGCACACACCCUCAGGGACACUCCUGGACUUUCCUCCGCAGCCUGCAGAAGACAGAUGAAGGCUGUUUCCCAAAACCUCUAAGGCCUCUCCUGAAAUGAGGGAUCCUCAGGGUGGCCUGAGGUGACCUUUCCUUUUCUCCCAUAAAGAAGAGAUCUUUCAGGGGACCUUCUCUGAACAAGAACCUCCUCCAAAGCAAGAAGGCAGCUGCACUAAGAGCACCGUGGGGCCACUGAGAGCUCGUCACUCCUGCUCUCAGGUGCACCACAGACAGGAUCAUGCCCAAGGUAACUCACCUGCGAACUCUGAGACAAUGAUAACACUGUGGGGUUUAGUCUGGUCAGACACAAUCACUCCCCUGUACAUACCAUUCAUGUGGCUCACAGGAAGCACUGUGGUUUCUUACCAAAGGGAGCUGAGCAGCUGAGCUCCCUCCCAGAAAGCCCCGUCAGCAAUCCCUGUUGGCACCUGCACCAAAGGGGCCAACUGGCUCUCGCUGCCAGCUGCAUUCCAGGGGCAUUCCCAGCCAGGCCGGGCCUGGCUCCGUGUGAGGCUGAAGACAUUACCUCUCCAGUGGGAGACUGGGAGAUUUUAGUCUGGGAUUCCACAUUUUUCUCCUGCAGUCUCUGUCACUGCAAAACAGAACAACAGCACACAAAGCCAUGUUAAGCCAUUUUAGUGAUUCCAAAAUCCAUUAUUCCUCUGGCUAAUUAAAAAAAAAACCCAAACAUGCAUUAGAUGUUACAAAUGUGAAUUUUGUAUUUGCAAUGAUAAAACUCCUCCCUUCUUUUUAUCCACAGAUGGUCAUGAUGAUGCCUUUUUGUUCAAUAAUUAAUCAUUUCUGUGUCAGGUUUGAUUUGUUUUAGGGAUUUAAAUUGUAUGUCUUGCUCAAGGAAAUCUGUAAUUGAGAUACAAAUUUGGGCACCUGUGAAAGACUUCAAAAUUUAUGCACAUGACUAAGUAUAUGUUUUUAAACAUAUAUUUUACUACCUUAAAGGCAUCUACACAGAAUGUCAAUGGAGACUGAUCUGUCAUUGCUCUAUCUUGUCAGCAGAACCACUGGAUUCUGACAGCUGAAUAGAGGCCAUUAAUUAAAACUGCCAGGUUUUGUCAGACCUUUGUCAUGCUCCCAAGAUAAUUCAGUCUUAUGCAUUUCAAGCAGCUGCAGCAGGAACAUGACCAAAACUUCCAAUUUCCCCCCUAAAUUCUAUUCCUCUCUUUCUAAGAAAGAGCACUUAUUCCUGCAGCAAUAAUCCUUUGCAUUUUGGAGGAAGGGUGCUGGGAGGGGUAACUUGGUUUUGCAUUGAGCAGUGCCAGGGUUUAUGCUGACUCCUCGGCAGCAGCUGUGCACAGGUUCUGGCAUUGACCCCCCACCCUCAGGACAGGGGAUAAUGCCAUGAGUUUUGCAGGAAUAAAGAGCUUUUUUUCUCACUUUUAUAAGCAGGUUCUAUGCUAGAACAAGCAAACAAAAAUUGGACUUGACUUCACGUCCCUCUGCUCUCACAAGUAUCCUCACUGAAGCUGGUAACUGCUCCUGGGGACAUACAGCCCUCAACCAGUCAUUCUUAAAGGAGAAGUGUUAGUUUUGCAUGUAACUAUUAUCUAUGUCUUAAUUUUGAUGUAUUUACAAAUUCACUCUUUGUAGCACAUCCACGAACCCUUUGGAAUGCAUGUGAUGCAGAGGCAGUGAUCAACCCUUACAGGCAUAUUAGAAAGCACCAGUUUUGUUUGUUUUACAUGUUUAUAAUUGUCUCUGGCAAUAUUAUCAUUGGUGGUUUUCCACAGUAGCUUUCAAAGUAAUGUUGGUUUGUCUGGAUAUCCAACAUUGCUAAAAAGCACUUGAAAUAUCAAACACAAGAACAAUUGUUUGUUUCUUCUCACUACUACAGCCUAACAUGGAUGUGAAUCAGGAGCCAUGUUGCUACAGCUUCUGAAAUCAAAGUAAAGCCAGGUAGUGUAUAGCCCAGCACAGACAUAUCCCCUAAGGACACAGAUGUGUGCUGCCCCAGCCCCUUUUUAUAGGAGAUAAGGAAGAUAUAUGAUUAGAGUUUAGUGCCAACUUUUCACUGUCCUAAGAGGUAACUGCAGUUAUUUUGUACGGACAAUCUGUUCCUUCCAUGCAUUGCUCAGAGGUGAAUCCUCUUCAGAAAACCCUUCCCUGCCCAAACAGAAUAGAGGGCUGUGCCACCUUCUUCAGGUCCCUGUUUGACUGGGCUGUCACAGUUUUGCCUCUGGGGCCAACCUAAACUGCCCCAGAGCAUGGAGAAGGCCAGUUUCAAGUGAGAGCACAUGCAGUUUGCACACUUGUGAGGCUGUUGACUGCAGAUUUCCAUGUGGAAGUCACAACAGUAAUGAAUACAUUCCAAAGGAAAAUAAUGUGGCACUUUCCAUAUGGGCUUCAGGCCUGCAGGGAGGCAGCUAUGGAGGCAGGUAACUGGUGUCUCAGACGGUCAAGAGGUUUUUCCCACAGCUCACCUGGAUUCGGGUGGUGGGCUCUAGAGACUCUGCUGCCCAUCACACUUUAUUGUCUGAGCAGAAACUAAUGCAGUGGCCAGGUCCCUUCUCAUGGGCCUGCCCAGGGAAUGAGGGACUCUGUCAUAUCAGGGUCAGCCUACCUGAGGAGUUUGCUUUUAUUCUUGGCAGAAUGGUGGCAUCUCUAAGAGCACUUGCUGUCAGUGUCUGUACAGCACGAUGCAGUGUGAGGGGGAAGUGUAAUGCUGAAUUACACAGGGGGGUGAGUAAGAGCAUCUGGCAACGUCUGCAGAUAUAUGAGGUCAGUGGGUUUACAUUCCUCAAGGUCAGAGAACAGAACAAGCGUGAUCUUAUCCCCGUGCCAGUUUCUCCACAUUACAAAGUCACCACAAGGUGGGAGGACACGUCGCUCCUGCUCUGGGAGGAUGGGGCUGAGGGCUUGUCUGCACUGCCUGGGAGAACAAACGGGAAGGAACAAACAGGAGCGAGCAAUCUCCAGGUAAGAAUGCAGAGGAGAACAAGCACACUGUUCUCCCCACAGCACGAAGCAGCCAAGCUCACAGUAUGUACCGCCAAAACCACAUAAAUGCUCCCCAGUGAAACCAGAGCAUAUUUGUGAGGCACGGCAAGAUCUUAGUGCCCAACCUCACUUGGUGUCUGCCCAGCUGGGGAGCAGAAGAGGUCUUUUGGUUUAAAGUGAUGGAUCUGACCUGGCAUCCAGCCCUGACAGUCAGUGAGGGAGAGGACAGCAUAACAGAGGGAAUGCAUUUUCCCUCUCCUCACUUGUUAUUCUAUGUGGUCAUGUAUUAAUCCUUAAACUCAACUCUUUUAAUUAUUCUUAUAACCCUUACUGGUGUCAUUCUGAAUAUUACUGUUAUCUUUGUAAAUACACAAUCCCCUUUCUGUAGAAAUUUUAGCCACCCAGCUAAUAUGCCCUAUGACUUUGAAAUCACUACAGUAAAUUCAUCAACAGAAUUGAAAAUAAAACUAAGCUUUGGAUGAAAGCUACAGUUUAUACCCCUAAGGCUUAUAAAUUUAGUCUGGUCCAAGGUAUAAAUAAAUAAUAUAUCAUUCUGAAAGGUUUCAUAUGUUUGUCAGACAGAAUCAGACAAUUUUAGAGGCAUACAUUUGUGUGCAAAACACAGUUAUGGUUAUAAAGGCAUGACCCAGGUCAAGGAAACAAAUGUUGUAUCAUACAGAGGUUUCUGUUAAGGAUGGAAUUGCUCAGAAUUGCUAUAGGUAAAGCAUACCUUUAAAUGCUAUUUACUUGGCAAUAUCCAUCUUGCACAUCUUUGCUCAUUGUUACACAGUACCUAGACAAGACAGUGCUGAAUACAUGAUAACCAGGUUUUUGUAUUGACCCAAACACCCACAAAUUACUUCAGCUAUUGAGUAACAAAGAAGUCCAUUUCUGAAGGCCUACUUGGAUAACACAAUUAUUCUUUUCGAUGCAUAAAAUUUGAAUAGGGCUCUGGGAAUUAACAACAUAUAAAUAAUGAUGAUGGUGAUAAUUUUAAAAUGUUCCCCAAACAAGGAAUUAAGGAAGUCUUGAGAGAGUGGUGAACUUGAUAAAUCUUUUCACAGUUUUUAAUUUGGAAUAUUAGUUAUUUCAUAAUCUACAAAGCUCACUUGGCACCUGCUGUGGGGUAUUGGAAACCCCUGCACAGCACACAGCUCCUGCCACAGCCCAGGAUCCCGAAACUGUGUCUGGGGUGUCUGUCAUCCUGACCCUGCCUAUGCUGCUCUUGUUCUGUAACAAUGAACAAUGCUGGACAGUCAUCAACCUGAUUUCAAAAAUGGAGUAAUGGUGAGGUAAUGAGAUGAAGAAACUCACUUGAUACUAUUGAAUUAAUUAGUGUACAUGCAAGGAUUAGAUAGAUUUCCUCAUUCCUGGUGCCAUUUGUAACCCACUGCACAAGAACACUAAACCCACUCCUUAUGGCCAUUCCCCAUGCUUCAACAGACCCAGGCAUUGAAGGACUAGGCAUUAAAUCUUCUUCACCUUUCACAGGUCUUUUUUUUAAAGAAAUUUUGUUAUGAGAGAAAAGAGGGCUUCAGCAGCUGCAGGAAAGAGCUCUCACAGUGCACUCUUUCAACCCUCAGAGGUCGGCCUCUCCAUUCCCUCAUUGUCCUCCUGAAGAACCCUGAGUCCACCCGGGUGUUAAGGCCUGCAGUGACACUGCUAUGAAUGAGAUUCUGAUCAAUAUUUCCUAUUAAGACUAUAAAAGUCUUUUACCACGAGUAAACAUGGAAAUAUUUACACAGGUUAACCAUGAUAUUGGUCUACAUAGAAUAAAACUACAGUUCCACUACAUUGUUCUGUUUUUUAGCACCAUACCUCCACAUCAUCUCUCCUCCUCCAGCUUGUUCUGACCUAAGUGUCCUCCCAAAGACCUCACCGAUGUGAUCCCCUGCCAACUGGAGCAGGCUGUGACAGGGCAGACUCACCACAAGUGCCACCUCCGACUCACUGAGACACAGUGUCACCAUCAGAGCACAGACAGUGUCACCAUCAGAGCACAGACAGUGUCACCAUCAGAGCACAGACAGUGUCACCAUCAGAGCAUGAACUAGGCCCUGUGUGUCUCCUUGCAGGGAGCUGUUGCCAUAGUCCCCCUCAGCCAGGUAGAGGAGAGCAGGAGCCACCAUCCCCUGGCACUGCUGGCACAGCACAAGGGCCACCCCCUCGGACAGUGACAUUUUCUCAGUCUGCAUCCUUUCCUCCAGCAAACCUCCACUCCCAGCUCACAUCUAGUGCCCAGCUGGUUCUGCAUUGGUUCUCACAUGCCAGCAUUCAAUCAGCAUCGCGACAAGGCCACACAGCUGACAGCAAACAUCCCCACCACACAGUCUGACACCUGGGGGACCUCUGCAGACCUUCCAGAAUUGUGUUUGAUCCCCUGUACAACACUAUGCCAGCUGGGAACAGGACAAUCCUGAUCUCACCUAUCAGCUCUGCCCUUUGUCAUUGGCACCACACCGGAAGGAAAAAAUCAACUCUGAGAUAAUUAGGUGGAGAAAUGUCCUGAAACUUUAAAAACCCAUGGGAUCUUCGACCUAGACAGUGCUCAAUUCACAGUAAGAUCUGUAAUCUUCUGAGUGCCUUGUUGAGUGGAAAAGGUGAGAAACUAAGUGGCUUUUGUAAAGGCACCAUAAUGCAACCAACAGGGCUAAAGCUGAGAGACCAGGAAAACCAGAAAAAAACCCUUUUCUCUUUUUCUUCAACUGAUCUUCUCUUUGUAUGACUGCACCAUCUAAAAAUUGUGUAUGACUUAAUACUGAAUAAAUGCCAAAACCUCCUGUACUGGAGAGACCACAAUAAAACUGCUUACAGUUCUGACUGAA